UGGUUUGGGUUGAGUUUUUUUAGGUUUUGAUUUUUAUUACAUCUUUGUACAAAAAUCAAAACGUAAAGAAAAUGCUGCAAAGAUAGAU
rnacentral:pre_miRNA from 1 species